CCCUUCCUCACUCAGCUGGCUGUCAGCUAUUGUCAGUGGCGCCGAGCCGAGCUCCCAGACGCAGCAUCUCACAGCAGGUGCCCUUCCUCCCCACUCACCCCUUUGGCCUGGACGGCAGUAAAUCAACAUAUUUUGUUGAUUGAGACUGCUUUCUUGUGGCAUCUAAACAGUGCUGAUAAGAUGAGGUCAGGAAGUGGCUGUGUGCUGGGGGCGUGGCUACAGUUACAUGACAGGCCUGUGGGCUAAUAGAAACAGUAUAGUGUUGGGAGGGUAGAACCUGUUCUGUGUACACUGUACACAGGAAGAGGAAGCAUAAUGGAACUGUGCGUUCCAUUUCUUUCUGUCCUGUGUUCCACUUUACUUUGCUGCACAGAGUGAGAGCACACUGCAUUCCUGCACCCAGAGACCAGCCAGAGGGACUAUCCUGCCAGUCUGCCACAGGGACCAUCCUGCCAGUCAGUCACAGGGACCAGCCUGUUGCAGAGGGGCCAUACAACCGAUUGCAGAUAUCAUCCGGGGAAAGUCGUCUUCACCACAUGGUCAAAUUGAGAGAAUAAGGAGAGAAAACAUAGACCCUUCAUGUUCUUCACCACUACAAAUAACAUCGUCCAGUUACAGCCCUUAAAUUGCUCCUCGAUAAAAAGUCCAUUAUUCUUCCUACCUCAUACUCUAUACUGUGACCACUAUGGGGGAGAAGCAUCAAGCCUUGGAGAGAGAUAAUUUUCUGAAGCUGCCCAAAGCAUCAAUCAACUUCUAACUGUCCUUUAUCUAGCAUCAUUUUUGAAAUGACAGCAUCUGAUUGGUUGCUUUGGGCAACUACUCCACUCUCUCUCCAAAGCUUGACACAUCUCCCCUUAUAUGAGAAGGGGUUCUUUUAAUUGAAAGCCCUUUGCCUGCCUAGUAGGAAUUACAGUACAAUGCCACAGAAUUCACCCAGCGCAAAGACGUUCGUAAAAGCCUUCUAAUUGUGAAAAUUUACCAAAGACACUUCAAGGACCAAACGAGGAGAGACAUCUCAUAAACUGCCAACAGAACUCAACCACAGCAUUAUAUUGUUCCUUGACACAACUUAGUGGUGACAAAUGACCCUUUUCCUGAUGCAGUGACACAUUCAGAAAACCUUCUAGAUGACCUUGUAACUGUUCCUGUAACGCAAUACUAGAAGGUCAUUCACCCACCCAUGAUGGAGAAAGAAACUGUUCUUCAACAUAAGGAAGGUACUGGCAGUUUGCUUGCUUGCAUUUGAAUGAUGUGUUAUGGUGGAGGGGGGCUGUGUGACAUGGUUUUUCUGCAGGCUUUGCAUACCUGUAAGUUAUUUAAUAUUUUUUACAAUAAAUAUUUUUUUAUUAAA